UACGGGGGGAGCAAGCGUUGUUCGGAUUUACUGGGCGUAAAGGGCGCGUAGGCGGCCACCGCAAGUCGACUGUGAAAUCUCCGGGCUUAACCCGGAAAGGUCAGCCGAUACUGCGGGGCUAGAGUGCAGAAGGGGCAACUGGGAAUUCUCGGUGUAGCGGUGAAAUGCGUAGAUAUCGAGAGGAACACCUGCGGCGAAGGCGGGUUGCUGGGCUGACACUGACGCUGAGGCGCGAAAGCUAGGGGGAGCAAACGGG
rnacentral:rRNA from 1 species